rnacentral:rRNA from 1 species
CGUUGGGAGCUCUCCCAUAUGGUCGACCUGCAGGCGGCCGCGAAUUCACUAGUGAUUCGUAUUACCGCGGCUGCUGGCACAGAGUUAGCCGGUGCUUAUUCUGUCGGUAACGUCAAAACACUAACGUAUUAGGUUAAUGCCCUUCCUCCCAACUUAAAGUGCUUUACAAUCCGAAGACCUUCUUCACACACGCGGCAUGGCUGGAUCAGGCUUUCGCCCAUUGUCCAAUAUUCCCCACAGCUGCCUCCCGUAGGAGUCUGGACCGUGUCUCAGUUCCAGUGUGACUGAUCAUCCUCUCAGACCAGUUACGGAUCGUCGCCUUGGUGAGCCAUUACCUCACCAACUAGCUAAUCCGACCUAGGCUCAUCUGAUAGCGCAAGGCCCGAAGGUCCCCUGCUUUCUCCCGUAGGACGUAUGCGGUAUUAGCGUCCGUUUCCGAGCGUUAUCCCCCACUACCAGGCAGAUUCCUAGGCAUUACUCACCCGUCCGCCGCUCUCAAGAGGUGCAAGCACCUCUCUACCGCUCGACUUGCAUGUGUUAGGCCUGCCGCCAGCGUUCAAUCUGAGCCAUGAUCAAACUCUAAUCGAAUUCCCGCGGCCGCCAUGGCGCCCGGGAGCAUGCGA